GAUGAACGCUAGCGGCAGGCCUAAUACAUGCAAGCUGAACGGCAAGUUGAAUAGCAAUAUUUGACCUAGAGUAGCGUAAGGGUGCGUAACACGUAUGCAAUCUGCCCGCAACAGGAGGAUAGCUUGAUGAAAGUUGAGAUAAGACUCCAUAAGAUCACAGGAGGGCAUCUGAUAGUGAUUAAACUACAAGGGGUUGCGGAUGAGCAUGCGCAUGAUUAGUUAG
rnacentral:rRNA from 1 species